AGAGUUUGAUUCUGGCUCAGAUUGAACGCUGGCGGUAUGCUUAACACAUGCAAGUCGAACGGAAACGAUGGUAGCUUGCUACCAGGCGUCGAGUGGCGGACGGGUGAGUAACGCGUAGGAAUCUGCCUGAUAGUGGGGGAUAGCCCAGAGAAAUCUGGAUUAAUACCGCAUAAUCUCUAUGGAGUAAAGGAGCCCUCUUCUUGAAAGGUUUCGCUAUCAGAUGAGCCUGCGUAAGAUUAGCUUGUUGGUGAGGUAAAAGCUCACCAAGGCGACGAUCUUUAGCUGGUCUGAGAGGAUGAUCAGCCACACUGGAACUGAGACACGGUCCAGACUCCUACGGGAGGCAGCAGUGGGGAAUAUUGGACAAUGGGCGCAAGCCUGAUCCAGCAAUACCGCGUGUGUGAAGAAGGCCUGAGGGUUGUAAAGCACUUUCAAUUGUGAAGAAAAGCUAAUGGCUAAUACCCAUUAGCCUUGACGUUAACUUUAGAAGAAGCACCGGCUAACUCCGUGCCAGCAGCCGCGGUAACACGGAGGGUGCAAGCGUUAAUCGGAAUUACUGGGCGUAAAGCGUGCGUAGGUGGUUUGUUAAGUUAGAUGUGAAAGCCCUGGGCUCAACCUAGGAACUGCAUUUAAAACUGGCAAACUAGAGUAUAGGAGAGGAAAGUGGAAUUUCAGGUGUA
rnacentral:rRNA from 1 species